UUGCGAUAACUAGUGUGAAUUGCAUUUUCAGUGAAUCAUCGAGUCUUUGAACGCAUCUUGCACUCUAGGGUAUUCUCUAGAGUACGCCUGUUUCAGUGACAGAAAGACCCCUCGCCCUAAAAUUUUUUUUUUGGCGGAAUUGACACAUUGGGUUUUACUCUUUUUUAGAGUAGCACGCCUAAUGCAAGUCUAAUAACUUACGGCUUAUUUUGAUCUAUAAGCUCUAUGCAGGAUUAUACUCUUGUAUCUUUUUGAUUUUCAAAUAGGAUAUGGAGGCCUACGCAGAGUAGAUUAAGAUUCGGGCCUAAACACCCCCCCAUUCUUCAUAUUUGUUCUGAAAUCAGGUGGGAUUACCCGCUGAACUUAA
rnacentral:misc_RNA from 1 species